CACACGACCUCUAGAAUAAGAGACAGACUUGUGUUUCUUCAGUAAAGAUUGAUAACCAUCAUCACAGGUUAAUGAACCGUACACACACACAUAGAGAACAACAAUUUCACAGUCUGGCUAUGGUUGUACCUGUGCAUACUGCUCUGAUAGUCCACUCUCCCUUUUCAUUGCAUGUAGUUACUGCUGAUUCCUGAUUGUUAGAAAUC